AUACGUAGGUGACAAGCGUUAUCCGGAUUGACUGGGUGGAAAGGGCGUGUAGGCGGUUUAGCAAGUCAGAAGUGAAAUUCCCGGGCUUAAUUUGGGCGCUGCUUCUGAAACUGCUUUACUUGAGUGCUGGAGAGGAUAGUGCAAUUCCAAUUGUAGCGGUAAAAUGCGCAGAUAUUAGGAGGAACACCGGUGGCGAAGGCGGCUAUCUGGACAGUAACUGACGCUGAGGCGCGAAAGCACGGGGAGCAAACAGGAUUAGAUACCCUGGUAGUCCGUGCCGUAAACGAUGAAUACUAGGUGUAGGGGGUAUCGACUCCCUCUGUGCCGCAGUUAACACAUUAAGUAUUCCACCUGGGGAGUACGGCCGCAAGGUUGAAACUCAAAGGAAUUGGCGGGG
rnacentral:rRNA from 1 species